rnacentral:tRNA from 1 species
AGGGCUCUAUUAAAUGGUAAAAAGUUACUUUGAACUUAACUUAGAGGUGUUCGACUCACCUGGGAGCUU